rnacentral:tRNA from 1 species
GCCGGUGUAGCUCAGUUGGCUAGAGCAGCUGAUUUGUAAUCAGCAGGUCGUGGGUUCGAGUCCCUCCAUCGGCUC